rnacentral:lncRNA from 1 species
CCUGAGGUACGGUCCCGCCUCGAGGCCCCGGCCCGGCUUCUCUUUGUCUGCGCCGGGUCCUCCGCUGUCUCCGGACCGCGACCCGCCUCUGCGGGCGGCCCUCGCUGCGCGCUUCUGGCCUGCUUCCGGAUCUCCGGGCCUCGGUUCUCGCGGCCCCCAGCCCGCAGGCGUCUCCCAGGCCCGGCAGGGCCUCCAAACCCGGUGCUCUAGGACCGCGGGGCGGGCCAGUGCCGGGUACUCCCAAGCUGCGCCUCCGGUGCGGAGGGGGCGCGGGAUGCAGGUCCUCUGAUCCCCGCCUUCUCUCCUCUGAUCCCCGCCUUCUCUCCUCCGCCUCUACUCGUCGCGCUGCGCCCCGACCCCAGCGCGGCCUGUUCGCGCCUCAAGCGGCUCUUCGCGGCGGUGCGGCCCCCGACGCCACGCGGACCCCCCCCCCCCGCCAGGCCUCGGCCCCGCAGGCAGAACACAGCCCCACCAGCCGCACACGAGACCGCCUGCAGUCGCACCACAGCCCUGCGCGGGCUCACUGCCCCUGCAGCCCCACGCCAACAAGCCCCCGACACCCCGCAGACACACUCGGGCCCCCGCAGUCACAACCCCAUACGCGCACAAUCUCAUGCAGACACGGCCCACACAGGCGCAGUCCCACAACCCCCUAUAAACAAUUGCACACAAACAACCCCACGCAGGCACCGCAUCACUCGGUCCCCCCGAGACUCAGCACAUUCACAAGCUCUCGGCAGACCCCCAAACCCCGUGACAUUCGCACGGAAGGCGGAUCAGAAAAUACACAGCCACACGGAUACACACACGGACUAAAACGCGCAUCCAGGAGCUCACCCCGGGCUCGUAAGUCACUGGGAAAAUAUUAAAGCGUUCCUUCCCUCCCCAGCCAUCUGUGGCGCGCGCGCGGGCGCGCGCACGGAGACACGCACCCCCCCCACUCCAGUUCCUAAGCGCCUCGGAGCCUCCCAGCCGGUGACCCCGGCCCCCGCGGCGAGAGCCGCGGGAGCGUCUCCC